GAUGAAGAACGCAGCGAAAUGCGAUAAGUAAUGUGAAUUGCAGAAUUCAGUGAAUCAUCGAAUCUUUGAACGCGCAUUGCGCCCCCCGGCAUUCCGGGGAGCAUGCCUGUUCGAGCGUCUCUUGGAAUACCCCUCACGCCGGCGGUGGCGUGGUCAUGGCGGCGGUGGCGUGCCCCGAGAGGGAGGCCACCGCGCUGGAAUCCAUGGGCGGACGCCUGCCGCGUGGCCGAGCGUGAUAAGACGCACUGGCGCUCGCGCGCGGUGAGGCUGCCGGCCCUGGCCCGCUCGUCGGGCGGGGACAGCAACACUUGGGAACUCCUCGAAUCAGGUAGGGAUACCCGCUGAACUUAAGCAUAUCAAUAAGCGGAGGA
rnacentral:misc_RNA from 1 species